UGGGAGGGGACUGGGAUGGACUGGGAGAAACUGGGAUGGGAUAGCGGGAUACUGGGAUGGACUGGGAGGGACUGGGAUGGGACCGGGAUGGACUGGGAUGGGACUGGGAUAUACUGGGAGGGACUGGGAUUGAACUGGAAUGGAACUGGGAUGGGACUGGGAUGGACUGGGAUAUACUGGGAGGGACUCGGAUUGAACUGGAAUGGAACUGGGAUGGGACUGGGAUGGACUGGGAUGAACUGGGAUGGAUUGGGAUGGACUGGGAUUGAACUGGUCUGAACUGGGAAGGACUGGGAUGGACUGGGAUUGAACUGGGAUGGACUGGGGGGGACUGGGAAGGACUGGGAUGGACUGGGAUUGAACUGGGAUGGACUGGGGGGGACUGGGAAGGACUGGGAUGGACUGGGAUGAACUGGGAUGGACUGGAAGGGAUUGGGAUGGGAUACUGGGAUUGAAUUGGUCUAAACUGGGAGGGAAUUCGAGGGACUGGGAGGGAUUGGUUGGAACUGGUUUGAACUGGUAUGGACUGGGAUGGGAUACUGGGGUGAACUGGGACUGAACUGGUUUGAACUGGGAUGGGGUAAUGGGAUUGAGCUGGGAGGGACUGGGAGGGACAUCGAGGGACUGGGAUUGAACUGGGAGAGACUGGGACAAACUGGGAUGGACUGGGAGGGGACUGGAUUGAACUGGUUUGAGCCAGUUGGAACCAGGACGGGAUAGUGGGAUUGAACUGGUUUGGACUGGGAUUGAACUGGGAUGGGAUACUGGGAUUGAACUGGGAGGGGAUUGGGAUGAACUGGGAGGGGACUGGUUUGGACUGGGAUGGGAAACUGGUUUGAACUGGUCUGGACUGGUUUGGACUGGGAUGGGAUACUAGUUUGAACUGGUUUGAACUGGUUUGAACUGGUCUGGACUGGUCUGGACUGGUUUGGACUGGUCUGGACUGGGAGCUCCGGGGGGGGUCAAGGCCACGUUGAGGUUUUUUUUCAAAAACGUCCAAAAACGGCACCAAAAUCCCCCAAAAUAGCGGGGAGGGGGCGGGGCCAGAGCUCCUGGGGGCGGGGCCAGA
rnacentral:lncRNA from 1 species